CUCCAACCUAAUUGACCAUUUUUUUGGAAUGCAUAAAACCUAUUUAUCCCCGAACUUUCGCAAUUGUACACUAUUUAACAUAAAUGCAGCACAUCUGAACAGGAAAACCUACCUAAAGGUACCCAGCAUAAAGCCAGAAGAUCGCCCCAGGUAUUGCACCUUGAGCCAACUAAAAACCCCUAUCAUUUCCAUACAAUUCUUAACCAUUAUACUAUCAUCCACGUCAAGUGCCGGUACCCAGCCCACUUAGCAGCAAGAUGAAUUCCGAUGGCUAAGGCUGCACAUAACAAUGGCACUGGAACCCUUUGACCUGUUGCCGCAACUUCAUCUUCUUCUUUUCCUUUGGAAAGCUUCCAUGAAUGGUGAUAAAUAGCUAGAGCCAGAUAGGAAAGCAUCACUAAAACUCUAACCCAGGGUUCUCCAACGGCAGCCAAUACAGCAGCUGCAGGCAAAGCAGAUGUUACAUGAUCUCUCUUUUUAACUAAUCGAGAGAAACCAUAAAAACCCAGUAGAAGCGUCCAGAAGAGUGGCUCAGAGAUGUAGUUCCUCACAGCUGCAUAGCCAACCAGGCCAGAUAUUGUAAGAAGAUAUGGUUGGCUGAUUAUAGAGUUUGGAGCAGCAGCUUCAGCAACAGCAAGAACUGCUGAUGCAAGCAAAAUAAUCAUAGUCAACUCUGGAACAGGAGCAUAUGCAACUAUACCAGAAUAGAAAGCCCGAACUGUGUAUAUUAGAGUCUCUAUGCAUCUGAUCAAAGAAGUGAUUGGAUCCCCAAUGAAAUGGAAGAUUACAGCCAACAAAAGUUUCAGAAGGUAUCCCACAAAACUAACAACUGCCAGUACGGCCUUCUUCCAGUUGGCUAGUUCAAAUAACACAGCCCUCCAUGCAUAGACAAGGAAACCCAGUGCCACAAACCAUGGCCAUGUAACAGGAGGAUCAGGCGCUUCCUUAGUCAAGUACCUGAACCUAUCAGGCAUAGUACUCUCUCCACGAGCCAACCUUUCAGCAUCAUCAUCAACACUAGUCUUGCUCUCUCCUUGUCCAUUCUCUGCU
rnacentral:misc_RNA from 1 species